rnacentral:rRNA from 1 species
GGUUGAUCCUGCCAGUAGUCAUAUGCUUGUCUCAAAGAUUAAGCCAUGCAUGUCUAAGUAUAAGCAAUCUAUACGGUGAAACUGCGAAUGGCUCAUUAAAUCAGUUAUCGUUUAUUUGAUAGUACCUUGCUACAUGGAUACCUGUGGUAAUUCUAGAGCUAAUACAUGCUAAAAACCUCGACUUCGGAAGGGGUGUAUUUAUUAGAUAAAAAACCAAUGCCCUUCGGGGCUCCUUGGUGAUUCAUAAUAACUUAACGAAUCGCAUGGCCUUGCGCCGGCGAUGGUUCAUUCAA